rnacentral:rRNA from 1 species
CACGUAGGGGGCAAGCGUUGUCCGGAUUUAUUGGGCGUAAAGAGCUCGUAGGCGGUUCGGUAAGUCGGGUGUGAAACCUCCAGGCUCAACCUGGAGACGCCACCCGAUACUGCUGUGACUAGAGUCCGGUAGGGGAGCGUGGAAUUCCUGGUGUAGCGGUGAAAUGCGCAGAUAUCAGGAGGAACACCGGUGGCGAAGGCGGGUCUCUGGGCCGAUACUGACGCUGAGGAGCGAAAGCCAGGGGAGCAAACGGG